UAUAUAUAGUCCGGCUACUAUAUUCUUAUGAGAAUAGACUAUUUUGUACUCAAAAAUUUUCAACUGUUAGAUCUGUCUAUUUGACCAUUUCCAUUCAUUAGAUCAUACUAUUCAACCAACCACUCACUCAACCCUAGGGGACCAUUAUCAUCGUAAUCGAGGAUUAUCAUCAUCCUACCAGCACAUCCUCCAUCAAACGACUAAAAAUUUAUGAGUACAAAGAGGUCUAUACUCAUAAAAGUAUAGUAGCCCUGGCCUAUACAUAUAUAUGUAUAUAUUAUUUUAUUUAUAAAUAUGUUAUUAUAUAAUAUUUUAUUUAUAAAUAUAUAGAAAUUGUAAUAUCUGAGACAUUUAAAUCAGCGAAAUUCAAAAUUUGAAUUUUGAAUUUGAUUUAAAUUUGAUUUAUAUAUAUAAUAGGUAUAUAUAUUUAUGCGGUGUUUGGAACCGGAGAGAUGAUAGGUUCCGUCGCGAAUCUGCGACCAAUUCGGGUGAAACAAAACUGUGGUCUCGAUGGUUCGGCAGUGCUGGAAGCACUGGCGUAGU
rnacentral:lncRNA from 1 species